rnacentral:misc_RNA from 1 species
GAUGAAGAACGCAGUGAAAUGCGAUAAGUAAUGUGAAUUGCAGAAUUCAGUGAAUCAUCGAAUCUUUGAACGCACAUUGCGCCCACCAGUAUUCUAGCGGGCAUGCCUGUUCGAGCGUCAUUACAACCCUCAGGCCCCCGGGCCUGGCGUUGGGGAUCGGCGGAAGCCCCCUGCGGGCACAACGCCGUCCCCCAAAUACAGUGGCGGUCCCGCCGCAGCUUCCAUUGCGUAGUAGCUAACACCUCGCAACUGGAGAGCGGCGCGGCCACGCCGUAAAACACCCAACUUCUGAAUGUUGACCUCGAAUCAGGUAGGAAUACCCGCUGAACUUAAGCAUAUCAAUAAGCGGAGGA